UAUCUCUGGAACAGUCCCCAAACGUCUUGCCAAGGGCACAGGUUUUCAGCUUUAAAGGCCAUUUCAAUUUAAGAAAACAAAAGAUGAUCCUGUGAACACUGUAUCAGGCAUCAUUACUGGACUGGAAAAAGGAUCACUUGAUGGACAUGCCUGGCAUUUUGUUUAGAAGUAUUUCUUCUCUGGCCUUAGAAGAUUAGUUUUCAAAGCGAUGGUAAAAUCAUUGAUGUACGUCUUUUCAAGAAAAAGAAAAAAAAAAAAAAGACUCCUAAAUGCCAAACAUUUGCUCUUUGGAGCAUAGCAAGAAGAAAGGGAGAGGACCAGACGGCCACAUCCUAAGAACAGAGUAUUGUCCAGGUAGCUGUCGCCCCAAAUGGGAUCUCUUUCCAGGUCUUUUUGUUAAAGUUUUUCUUUCCUAAAUAAAACUUAAUUUUCUCUCGCUAA